rnacentral:rRNA from 1 species
GAUGAACGCUGGCGGCGUGCCUAAUACAUGCAAGUCGAGCGAACGGACGAGAAGCUUGCUUCUCUGAUGUUAGCGGCGGACGUGUGAGUAACACGUGGAUAACCUACCUAUAAUACUGGGAUAACUUCGGGAAACCGGAGCUAAUACCGGAUAAUAUUUUGAACCGCAUGGUUCAAAAGUGAAAGUCGGUCUUUCUGUCUCUUAUAGAUGGAUCCGCGCUGCAUUAGCUAGUUGGUAAGGUAACGGCUUACCAAGGCAACGAUGCAUAGCCGACCUGAGAGGGUGAUCGGCCACACUGGAACUGAGACACGGACCAGACUCCUACGGGAGGCAGCAGUAGGGAAUCUUACGCAAUGGGCGAAAGCAUGACGGAGCAACGCCGCGUGAGUGAUGAAGGUCUUCGGAUCGUAAAACUCUGUUAUUAGGGAAGAACAUAUGUGUAAGUAACUGUGCACAUCUUGACGGUACCUAAUCAGAAAGCAACGGCUAACUACGUG